CUGCAUGACCCAGUUGGGAACAAGGAUCCCAUGUUGAUUGACUCCCCACCUUGACAAGUAUCUUGUUGUUGGGAUGACCAGCAUGUGACUAUUGGGACAAGAUAGAAGUAUUUACAAAGCCAACAGUUUUGACCAAUUUAUGCGAAUUAGGGCAGAUUUGAGAGUACACUUAAGAGUUUUAAACUUUGUUUGAAAAAACAAAAAACAGUGUUCUUGGAAUAGUUUCUUUGGAGUAGAGCGCAUAAGGCCAAAUUUUAUCUGAUUGUUGGUGAGCACCUGUGGGUUUUUGUGUUCCUUAUGUAGUAUCCCUUAGGUUUGGGUCGAACAAUGUAAACCUUAUCAUUUCCACUGUUUUUAACAUCUCAAAUGAUGUCCCACGUCCUAGGUGCCAAUCCACAAAUGCCCACUCCUACAUCUUCUCCCUCCUCCCUCCAUUUUGCCACUAUGAUGCUGCUCUAAACUCACCCAACUUUUCGAAACCCACCACUCCAGCCUCCUCCUACGUUCGAGCAUCACAUCUCCACAGGACCAAGGGCCUUCCAUCCCAUUGGUUUCAAAUAAUGCCAUCCUCUGAUAUAUAUUGGUUGGUGGUCUAUUUUCUGGGAAGCUCUGGGUCAUCAGCCAGCAUAUAUUGUUCUUCCUCUAUUGCAGGACCUCUCUGUCACAGGACAUCCACUGUUUAAGCACCACCACUACCUCAGGAAGUCCACUGUCUGUGUGUCAACUCCCACUGUUACAGGACCACAAGUGUCUCAGCACUUCAACUAUCACAGCACUUCUACUGUUCAGGAGCUCAAGAGUCUCAGCAUCUCAAGUGUCACAGGACCUCCUUUGUCCAAGAACUGGACUGUCCAAGCAAUACUGCUAUUGCGGGACCUCCACUGUCACAGGAUUUCCACUGUAGGAGCACUACAACUGUCUCAGGACACCCACUGUCCUAUAACCUCCACUAUCCCAGGAAUUCCACUGUCGUAGCACCACCCGUAGCAACUAAAGUGUUUCAGGACAUCAACUGAAGCAAGAUCUCCCAUGAUUCUGCAACUUCACUGCCCCAGGAUCUCUACAGUGACAGGAAUACUUCUGUAUCAGCAAUUCCAAUUUUGCAGGACCUCCACUGUAGCAGAACCUCAAUUGUGCAGCAGCUCCCCUGUAUGUAGAUUGACCUCCACGAUCUCAGUGCCUCCACUUUCAAAGGACCUUCACUGUCACAGAACCGGCGCUAUUUCAGUGCCUCCACUGUCGCAGGACCUACCUCUUCACAGGAUCUGCACUGUUGCAGCAACUGUAAUUUCAAUUUUUCAAAGUCAUUGCUGGUUAUUAGAUUUCAGGCUGAAUGAAAUGAGAUGUUACUUUUGAAAGCAUAAGAAUUUGUUCUAUACCUCUUGUGAUAAAUGCCGUGUUUGCUAGGACCAGUAAACUAUGGAAGACUUCUUCAGCUCAUACCACUCUCCACCUCACUUUGUGGAAGCUGGUGUUUUUAGAGUGUGAUAAACUUCAGGUGAAUGGAUGCAUUCAGCUGCACCACGCUCUAGAGUGGACUACACAGCAGUCAUAUUGAGUCCUUGCUGGGAAGAGAAGAAAUCCAGAAGAAGGAGAAGGCUUGGGUUGGGGGAAGAAUCAUAAAAUACUUAGAGGAUAUUAGAAGGUAAGAAUUAUGGGGAACUGGAAAACAGAGCCAAAGGAAGAAUGAGCACAGAGCAAACUGGGAAGGACAAAGUACAAAGGCACUUGGGUUUUGCCAUCUGCGUGUUCUCUGGACAAUCUCCCUGGGCCACAUUUCUGGGAGAAAACUCUUCCCCCACCCCCUUGUAAGGUUUCAUUCUUGAAGGAAAGCAGCAACACAACUUCAUCAGUGAAUUUCCCCAUUGGAAUUGGUUCAUCCUUUAAUGCUUCUGGGAAAUCCCGAGCUGGGGAAUGUCCUGCUCUCUGCUGAGAGACAGCAGGAAAGUAGGUCGUCCUCUGUUUUCUCGUUGCUACAGCUCUUCUAAGUAUGGCUGAUUGUUGAGUGAAGACACAGGAUACUUCUGGUGUGUAUGUAUGCUUUGUUCACUGUGGGUGUUGUUGGGAGUGUCCUGAAAAGAAGGGCAUGCCCAAUGGCACUUCUGCUUCCUCUUUGACUAGCCUUAUGAUCAUAGGGAGACACUAGGCCAUUGGAAGAUGAGGAGAGCAAUGUGUCUAAGUUGUGUUCACUUCUAUUCCUAUUUAGUCCUAGAGGGAAAUCAGCAAGGGUGUGAGGAAUGCUGCUGUGCACUGACUGUGUGGUGUGAGGAAUGCUGCUGUGCACUGACUGUGUGGUGUGAGGAAUGCUGCUGUGCACUGACUGUGUGGUGUGAGGAAUGCUGCUGUGCACUGACUGUGUGGUGUGAGGAAUGCUGCUGUGCACUGACUGUGUGCUGUGAGGAAUGCUGCUGUGCAUUGACGCUGCCUUUUUUCUUUUCUCCCUACACCUGCAUCCUUCUGGUGGCUCAGGUUGGACAACUAGGUGCCCAUGACCAACUCCUCAUUGUGGAUGGAUUUAGUCUGGUUGGACUUUCUCAGGAAAGGCAGCUGAACUCAUGACUAGUACCAGUUCCACGGUUACCCUGGAAGUUGCAAAUCAAGACAUCCUCUCUCACUGCCUGUCCACCUUUCUUACCAACCCAUUGUCCUCCAUGGUGCAGAGAGACAGUUCUACAGUGGUGUCUAUGGUUAAGUGCCAGGCAGUGAGAACCCAGGAGUGAUAUUCAGAGGUACAAAGGAUGACCUGCAGGUGUGUGCAGCCGUGCCAGUCUUGUUCACCAUGGGAUGGAAGCGGUCCCUGACCUGUGAGCCUAGAGGUGACCAGGUGCUCCAUUCUGAGACUGAGAGAGGCAGGAUGCCCACUCAAGGGUCCAUAGCAGGGAAGGUUUUCAAGCUAUGUACAGUGCUGGAAAAGCCUACACAGGGCAUACAGUUAGCAGUGAUGUGUUUGCAGGGAGUCCAAGGAACCAGCUUUGUACUGAUGCAGGCCUGUCAUCAGUGCCUUGGCGUUUGUGGGACUCAUCCACAGAGGCAUGCAACUCAGAGAACGGUACCCCAACUUGGUGCACAGGAACUCUUUCAGGUGUCACUUGAUUGUCACAGGUUUCUGCUCGGUCAGCAAGGAAGGGAAGCCUAGCCCUGUGCCAGGAAUGACUGCAUAUGGUCAACACACACUACCCUGGAAGACCCGAGAGUUCAAGGACGGCCAACUUUCACUUAAGCAAACUUGUCCACAGACUGCGUGGGUCCCAUCAGCUGAGAGUAGCCUCCACAUUGCAGUGAUGUGCAAACUUCUGCCUUUCAGCCAUGAUGGACUUUAGGAUCUAACCUGAGGACCCUACACAAGGCACAGGUAGGUGAUGUGUAAAUGAGGCAUGUUACUGGGUCAGGUCUUCAGUGCAGUGUCUUAAGCUGUCAGGCUUUUGGGAGGGCAUAUGCUUCUCUAUUAAAUGAGCUGGCUUCUCUGAAGGCCUCAACUCUGCUGUGUCUGCCGCUCAUGCUCCCUCCUCCAAGAAUCUAACUGUCCCUAGCUCUCUGUGACUGGCUGGUCAGUCAGCCUUCAUGCCACUCCACAGCCACUCUACAACACAGAGCCCACACUGUCCUCUGCAGAAGUUUCACAGGGCUGCUGCUUUAGUCUCUCUGUUGCGCUAUGGGGGUCCAAAGUCAAGUUUCUUAGGUCCCUAGGUGUCCCUGAAAAGGCUCUAGAACAAGGAAGAGGUGAAGAAAUCAGGAAAUAAACUCCUGCAGUACUUCAUGACUACCACUGGAGGGCUCUACACCUUUCUGGUCCUAGUGUGCCACUCAGCAAGCCCUCUCACUCACUCUAAGGUUCUGAGCCUGAUGGAGAGGACUCCUGCUAAACCCAGUGUUCCCAAGAAACUGGCUGUACCGGCAGGGCUAACUGUAGAGGAUUCUCCACGACCCUGAGAACACAAUUUGGAAAUCUCAGGUAGGCAGGGUGUGUGGGGGAGCAACCAGGGCUGGAUGGAGACCUUACCCAGAA
rnacentral:sRNA from 1 species